rnacentral:rRNA from 1 species
GUGGAUUAGAUACCCUGGUAGUCCUAGCCGUAAACGGUGCACGUUUGCUGUAAAAGGAAUCGACCCCUUUUGUGGCGUAGCCAACGCGUUAAACGUGCCGCCUGGGAAGUACGGUCGCAAGAUUAAAACUCAAAGAAAUUGACGGGGGCCUGCACAAGCGGUGGAGUAUGUGGCUCAAUUCGAUGCAACGCGAAGAACCUUACCUGGCCUUGACAUGCAUAUAGUAGAAGGGUGAAAGCCUGACGAGGUAGCAAUACCAGUAUGCACAGGUGCUGCACGGCCGUCGACAACU